UUUUUAGGGGCUAGUUAACUAAAAAAAAAUGAACAAUUUGGGAGUGAGAGAAGGGAGAAAACCUUAUGUGUCUGCAAUACAACUGCCAAUGGAAGCUAAUAACCAAAAGAAUAUAUAUAAGCUUCCUAUCACAGAGAUCAAAUGUAACUCUCCAUCAUCUAAGUAAUGAUUCAUUUUUAUUUACUCAUGUGACAGUGUUUGUUACAACGCAUUAUUAUUGAGUAGUGAAUAAAAGAAUACGAGGCAUACUGGGAAACUGGCAUCAAGUCAUGGAGAAAUCUUAAUAUUGAGGACUUCCUAUGUUAAGUUCCAGCCAGUGUAAGUAGUUUCAUGGCAGACUACUUAAAUUUGAAAAACUGUGGUACAAAAACCACUUGACCCUUUAGAUAUUGCAGUAAAAUCUGGCUGUGGCACCACUGGCUAAAUACCAUUAAGUCUUGCUGCCACCAAUGACC
rnacentral:lncRNA from 1 species